UAUGGAAUAACUCAGGGAAACUUGAGCCUAAUACCAUAUAAUGUCUUCGGACCAAAGAUUUAUCGCCCUGAGAUAAGCCCGCGUAGGAUUAGCUAGUUGGUGAGGUAAAGGCUCACCAAGGCGACGAUCCUUAGCUGGUCUGAGAGGAUGAUCAGCCACACUGGGACUGAGACACGGCCCAGACUCCUACGGGAGGCAGCAGUGGGGGAAUAUUGGACAAUGGGCGAAAGCCUGAUCCAGCAAUGCCGCGUGAGUGAUGAAGGCCUUCGGGUUGUAAAGCUCUUUUACUCGGGACGAUAAUGACGGUACCGAGAGAAUAAGCCCCGGCUAACUCCGUG
rnacentral:rRNA from 1 species